GAUGAACGCUGGCGGCGUGCCUAAUACAUGCAAGUCGAGCGAACGGACGAGAAGCUUGCUUCUCUGAUGUUAGCGGCGGACGGGUGAGUAACACGUGGAUAACCUACCUAUAAGACUGGGAUAACUUCGGGAAACCGUAGCUAAUACCGGAUAAUAUUUUGAACCGCAUGGUUCAAAAGUGAAAAACGGUCUUGCUGUCACUUAUAGAUGGAUCCGCGCUGCAUUAGCUAGUUGGUAAGGUAACGGCUUACCAAGGCAACGAUGCAUAGCCGACCUGAGAGGGUGAUCGGCCACACUGGAACUGAGACACGGUCCAGACUCCUACGGGAGGCAGCAGUAGGGAAUCUUCCGCAAUGGGCGAAAGCCUGACGGAGCAACGCCGCGUGAGUGAUGAAGGUCUUCGGAUCGUAAAACUCUGUUAUUAGGGAAGAACAUAUGUGUAAGUAACUGUGCACAUCUUGACGGUACCUAAUCAGAAAGCCACGGCUAACUACGUG
rnacentral:rRNA from 1 species